UUAAACGACUGUGGGGAACUGUGUCAAACGCCUUGCGGAAGUCAAGAAACACGGCAUCUACCUGUGAACCCGUGUCUAAGGCCCUCUGAGUCUCGUGGACGAAUAGCGCGAGCUGGGUUUCACACGACCGUCUUUUUCGAAACCCAUGCUGAUUCCUACAGAGUAGAUUUCUAGUCUCCAGAAAAGACAUUAUACUCGAACAUAAUACGUUCAGAAGGAAUCUCUGUACGGCUUUUCUUAUACUAUUUGGAAAGCGCGGGAAAUUGUAUUCACUUUUUGACAAUCCAGUGUUUACUCGUUUGUGAAAAAGACGUGAAAGAAGUUGGUAAAGUAAAUUGCGGAAGUAUUACUUUCACAUCUUCAGAAUCAAGUAUAUGAAAAAGACUUGAUAAUGCCUGUUUUGAACGGUAGUACAGUACUGCAUUUUCUUUUGAAAUUAGGGAUUUAAUAUUUUUUGCAUUUGAACAUCACUUCCAUCUAAUGGCGUUGAAAUGAGAACGAGAUUGAUGUGUGAACACGCAGAGUUCACUAGGGAACGGGAAAGAAAUUUUUUUUGGGGGGCACAUUUCGUCACCACAUGGUUCGAAACGAAGGUCUUCGAUGUUCAAAACCUAUACAUUUGUAAUAAGUGUCUUGGACUGUAAGCAUACAACGUCUGUAACGCAUCUGUUUUGUCAGAGCAGUAAAGUGCCUACACAUUAAAAUAUAUUUUUUCCAGAUUAAAUUUAUAUGCUCACAUUGUAAUUUUUUGUACCCCUUCGCUGCAGUUAGCAUUGCCGACAGGGAAGGCACAUGUUAGUGAGAUUUUGGGAGCUGUCCAAGAAAAGAAGAUACUCUUGAUAUGAUAAUAGUAAUGUAAUCUACCUUUUUCGUGGAAGAACUUACUCUACAUUUCUAUUAUUUUGAGAAAAGAUACUUUAUUUCAAACUGAGGAAACACUUUCCUAUGCUUAUUUUCAGUCACAUUUUACAUUUACGUCUUUUAUUUUAAUGCGGAAUAGUUGAAUAAUUGUAAAAGUUUCCACACCAAAGAGGUGGUGUCGAACUUGGCAGAAUUUCUUGGGAAUAGCUUACUGGAAAUUUCCAUUUGUCUCCUAAUUAUUGAGUUUUUGUUAAAUAUGUUCAAUAGUGCAUGAAGAUCUUUGUUAAACUUUAAACUUUUCGUUCAUUCUGUUAAUCACUCUGUAUUGUUUCUGUGUGUUCUCUGUAGAUGCAGCAGGAACUGCGAUAAAAGCAGCACUGAAAACGGUUACACUCGAGAAAACUACAAAACUUUCUAGUGAUGGUGUGAAUAAAGGAGAAGCAUAUUUAACAGAUAAAGGUGUUGUUUACAUUAAGCAAAAUAUGACACCACAGGUGUUGUGUUGUUUGUGGUAUUGACAGUUGCGGUUGAUCUAUAUAGAACAAUGGAAGUGUCCGAUUCUUGUGGAUUUUGUUGAUGUGGUGGAACAUGGCAAGGGAGAUAUUUAAUUGUGAAUAUGAAAGUCUAGAAGCUAUUGCAGCAACAAACAUAAUACGAGUCCCAAAGCCUCUUGCGAUUGUGGACAAUCCCUUGGGUGGAGCUUUGUUUGUUUCAGAGUAUAUUGAUAUGAAAUCACUGGACCAGUUCUCUCAAGAACUUGGGCAGCAGUUGGCAAGAUUACACCUGCAUAAUGCUGUUCUAGGCAAACAAAAAAUCAAAGGAUUUGUAGGGAAGGAGGAAAAAGUACAGUUUGUAAAAGAAUUUGGUUUCCAUGUUAAAACAAGAUUUGGGAACACACUUUUGGAAAAUGAAUGGUGCAGUGACUGGCCUACCUUUUUCGUGAGACACAGACUCAGUUAUCAAUUUAGAUUACUUGAGGAGAAUUAUGCAGAUGCUGAGGCACGAGAACUGUGGUCACAGCUACUUCGGAAGCUACCUCAGUUUUUUGAAGGCGCAGAUAUAAAACCAUCGUUAUUGCAUGGGAACUUACAAAGAGACAAUAUUGCGGAAACUAACACUCAUCCAAUCACUUUUCAUCCAGCAUCUUUUUUUGGCCAUCAAGAUUUUGAUCUGGUUACUUCACAAAUGUAUGGUGGUCUUGGACAAGCAUUCUAUAAUGCAUAUUAUGACAUAAUUCCUAGGGCCCCUGGUUCAAGGAAAAGGAAUCAGAUCUAUAAAUUAUUUCAUCUCCUAAAUAAGUGGGAUCACGAGAAUAAGAUUAUAAUAAUUACUGCAUGCACAGAGGCAUUCAAACAAUCAUUCUUCCCGCACUUUGUAUGUGAAUGGAACAGGAAGAAAUCCUAAUAGCUGGUACAGUUGGAUAUACUCUCUGCCAUGCACAUCACAGUGCAGAAUCAUGUGUUCCUCACUCCUGUAUCCACUAAAGAACCAUCAGCAUGCAAGGAAGACAUAACACCUUUGUGAUCUACUUUGGAGAGAGGGGUGCAUGAUAGAUAUCCCCUUCCGUCAUCUUUACUGGAAGGUGCCACUGUUGUGCAAGAAGAAUGGUGCAAGAUACCUUUGAAUAUGAUACUGGACUGGUAUUUAUCCAUUCCGAAGCAAAUGGAAGCUGUUUUGAAUCUAACAGUUUUCCUGCACCGUAUUAGUCAUGGAACCAGUCUGGAGAAGAACACAAGAAGAAAGCUAUAUCUUUAAUGAAGUUUCUGUUGAAAGGACCAUAAGAAUUCACUACUACUACAUAAAAAAAUACAGUUGAAAAUAAACACUAUUUUACCAAAUUAAUUAUUUGCACCAUGUAUUUAUCUGAAUCAAAAUGUAGCAUUCAGUUUUAGCUUUCAGAAAUUGUGGUAUGUCUGCUUUUAAAGGAAAGGGUUUUUGAGAUUUCCGAUUACCUGAACAUAAACAUGUUUCUGAAAUUUUAAAGUAGUUUGCUGAGCUGUAUAGUGGCUGAGAUAACAGAAGAAAUAAUAUAUUUUUGGAUUGUAAAUUUUAUAAAUUUUAUGUUAAGUGUAAUCACUGAACUGGAUGUUAUUUAUUUGUUGUAUACUUGGAUUGCAUGCAUAGGCAAUAACAAAGAUUCAUAAAGCAAAUUGUGCCAUAUUCCUGACUGUGAACACAAGUAACAUUCCAAUUUGCAAACAUAGUAACAAAUUAAAUAACAUUGUAACUAAUAAUUACGCUUUUGAAUUGAUUUGUCUGCAAAAAGUAACUAAACUCACAAAAAAGUAUGGAGGACAUUCCAUUAGGUAUCACUGCCACACUGUAUAUUCUUUUGUUAUAAACUUUAUACCAAUAUACUAGUGAAAUUUAUGAAGAAAGA